AAGGUAUCAAAAAAAACGAAAUUCAAAGUGCAGCUCGCCAAUUUUUUGCCUUUUACGCAAAUUAUAAUUAAUCAACUACUGGGAGCGCAUACAAUACAUAAAUGCAAGCAAUUAUACAGUAAAAAGAGAAAAAUAACCAUAACAUUUUUCCAACCAAGCGUAUUGAAUUUCAUUUGGCCAAUGCGUAAUUGCCAACGCGUGUCCAACUUUUUACCAAGGCUGCCAACUUUCGGAUUAAGAUACAUACUCUCACUUUGACUAAACUAAAAGCAACCGGAAGUAACUGGCUUCAAAGCCACGCGCCAACUGGCGUCCAUUCAGUUUUCAGAUUGGCAGCACUGCAUUUUCAGGGUGACCAUACAUAUGCGUAUA